rnacentral:lncRNA from 1 species
AGAGAAACCAAGAAAGAACAAACCCUAGGUGGGGACAAUCAAAGAGAAAGUGUUGGAAUUCAAAGAUUUGAUCAAGCAAAGGUACAAUUUCUUUGAUUUUGCUAAUGAUUUACCUUACCCAUGCAUUUCUCCUUAAUUUCCAUGGUUGGAUUGUAUGUUUUAAUGGGGAAAUCAUGGCUGGCCGAAUGGGUUUGGUGAGAGAAAUGAUGUUGGAAUUGUUUGAUUUUGAGUUAUGUUGGUGUUUAGAGUUAGUUAAGCAUGUUUAGAAACAAAACAACAAGAAAAGAAUCCAUUUUCCCCAUGAACCUUCAAUGGCCGAACCCUAUGUGAAAUGUAAAAGUAAUGAAUUGAUUUUGUGAUCAAGUGAAUUGGUUGAAAAAUUGAUGAAAUGAUGAUUUAUGCUGAGAAAAUGGAAUGGGAAAAUUUUUAGUGAUAGUGCACCACAAUGACUAAAAUUUUCAAGAAGAAUUGUGAGGGUUGUUAGGCUGAAUUUUAGAUUAUUGGAAUUGUAUUUAGUGAAUUGAAAUAUUAGAAAUGAAAUGGAGCAAUUUGGAGCCAAAUCGGAACAAUUGUCAUUUAAUCGAGUAAUAAGCCGAAUUAAAUCAGCACCGCAUUUAAGCGGUAGUCGGAUAAGUUGCAUAUCAUAUCAUGCAUAUACACCGAGCCUGAAUUGAUUUUAUAAUGGUCAAGCAUUAAUGUGGUGAAUUAUGUAUUGUACAUUGUAGAUAAGUGGUGAGCAAAUUACACUGGUAAAAGUACAAAGAUUGUGCUUGAAGACUGGAAUUAGGAGUACAUCGACUCCUAGAACUGUGAGUGGACAAUUUAUCGUCUUAAAUAUCUAGAGUAAUUAUACUUGUUUGAUGCUUUUAUUGAAUGGUGAGUUUAAAUUAUAAAAUAUUAUGUUUUUCAAUUAAAAUAUUUUUUUUAAAUGAGAUUUAUAUUGGUUUUGAAAUCAAAUAUUGUUUUGAAAAAAUUGAGUAUAUGGAGACUGUGUUGAAAUUUAUGAUUUUAUAUGUCAUUGAAAUUGUGGCUUAUGACAUUAUGGUGGCAUGAUGGCUAAAUUUUUGGGGUUGGCAUGAAAUAUAUGAACAGUUUUGGAUUGGUCUUGGUAGACUGGAUUACAUUUUAUUCGUCAUAUUAUGCUACUGAAAAUUUUAUGGGUCUGGUGGUAUAUUAAACGGUCACUGCAGUGGUGGGGGUUUCCGUGGACUGCCUAUGAGAGGGGCACGGUAACCUAAAUAUAUAUUUACCUCCGAGGGGAGAUGUUAGAUGAAGUAUAUCCUGAGGUAAGAUUUGAGUGCACCUCACGUUCGAGCCACCACGUGAGAGUGAGACUCAGCCAACACCAAGGAACGGCUGUAUCAGAUGUGAAAACAUGUUUAUGGAUAUGGACAUUUAACAGCUUUGGCGGUCUCAGUGGGAUACCUUGAUAAAGGUACCCGCGAGAAUGAUUCUGGUAGGGGCCAAGUUUAAGAAAUUCAUAAGCUGGAAAAUUUUGAUGAAAAGAAAUUGUUUGGUAUAGAUUGAAACGAAUUUUGCGUUAUGAACAUUAUUGAGAUAUAACGUUUUUAUAUUAUUUCCAUCUACUCGGUUUUAGAUGCUUUUGAUGGUAAUUGUUUACUCACUGGGAUUAUGUAAUCUCACCCCUCUUCCUAUCCAUUUUUCAGGCUCAGAACAGUUUGUUGAUAGUUGAUUAAGACGAGAAUUAAUCUCGGAGUUGCAUCAUAGAAAGUAAGGGUUCGUAACCCUACACCUUCUUGCUUAGUUGGGGGCCCACGUGUCACUGUAAACGUAAUUUUAUAUUUCAGUUAUCUGAUUUAAAGUAUGAAUGAACAUAUUUAGCUUUUACACAAUGUUUUUGACGGGUUUCG